rnacentral:rRNA from 1 species
GAAGCUGGAAUUGCUAGUAAUGGCAGGUCAGCAUACUGCCGUGAAUACGUUCCCGGGCCCUUGUACACACCGCCCGUCACACCAUGAGAGUUGGAAAUACCCGAAGCCUGUGAGCUAACUUAAAGAGGCAGCAGUCGAAGGUAGAGCCAAUGAUUGGGGUGAAGUCGUAACAAGGUAGC